CAUGGGCAGGUUGAAGGUUGGGUAACACUAACUGGAGGACCGAACCGACUAAUGUUGAAAAAUUAGCGGAUGACCUGUGGCUGGGGGUGAAAGGCCAAUCAAACCGGGAGAUAGCUGGUUCUCCCCGAAAGCUAUUUAGGUAGCGCCUCGUGAAUUCAUCUCCGGGGGUAGAGCACUGUUUCGGCUAGGGGGCCAUCCCGGCUUACCAACCCGAUGCAAACUGCGAAUACCGGAGAAUGUUAUCACGGGAGACACACGGCGGGUGCUAACGUCCGUCGUGAAGAGGGAAACAACCCAGACCGCCAGCUAAGGUCCCAAAGUCAUGGUUAAGUGGGAAACGAUGUGGGAAGGCCCAGACAGCCAGGAUGUUGGCUUAGAAGCAGCCAUCAUUUAAAGAAAGCGUAAUAGCUCACUGGUCGAGUCGGCCUGCGCGGAAGAUGUAACGGGGCUAAACCAUGCACCGAAGCUGCGGCAGCGACACUGUGUGUUGUUGGGUAGGGGAGCGUUCUGUAAGCCUGUGAAGGUGUGUCGUGAGGCAUGCUGGAGGUAUCAGAAGUGCGAAUGCUGACAUAAGUAACGAUAAAGCGGGUGAAAAGCCCGCUCGCCGGAAGACCAAGGGUUCCUGUCCAACGUUAAUCGGGGCAGGGUGAGUCGACCCCUAAGGCGAGGCCGAAAGGCGUAGUCGAUGGGAAACGGGUUAAUAUUCCCGUACUUGGUGUUACUGCGAAGGGGGGACGGAGAAGGCUAUGUUGGCCGGG
rnacentral:rRNA from 1 species